rnacentral:rRNA from 1 species
GNUUCUUGAUAAUAUUUUUAAGUCUGACCUGCUCACUGAAUAAAUUUAAAGAGCCGCGGUAUUUUGACCGUGCAAAGGUAGCAUAAUCAUUAGUUUCUUAAUUAGAGGCUUGAAUGAAUGGUUUGACGAGAAAUUAACUGUCUCUUAAUAAAUUUUAGAAUUUAACUUUUAAGUUAAAAGGCUUAAAUACUUCUUUAGGACGAGAAGACCCUAUAGAGCUUGAUAUUUAUAAGUUUUAUAUUAUUUUAGGUUAUCUUUUUAUGUAAUUUUUUACUAUUUGGUUGGGGUGACAUGAAGAAUAAUUAAACUCUUCAUUAUUAAAUCAAUGAUUUAUGUUCAUUUGAUCCAUAAUUUAUGAUCAUAAGAUUAAGUUACCUUAGGGAUAACAGCGUAAUCAUUUUUGAGAGUUCAUAUCGACAAAAUGGAUUGCGACCUCGAUGUUGGAUUAAGAUUAAUUUUAGGUGUAGUAGCUUAAUAAUUAGGUCUGUUCGACCUUUAAAUUCUU